UUGCCCUCUUCAGUGCUCUGGAAUCUCUCCCAUCUUCCACAGCAUUUCAAAAAUAAUCACCAAUGGCUCAGAUAUCUCCUCAAUCAGCUCCUUGUGUAUUCUAGGAUGUAUUUCAUCACGCCCUGGUAACUUGAUGGAAUCUAACUUGUCUAAGUUACUUUUAAAUUGUUCUUUCCAUAUUUUCACCUCAGAUCCUAACUAAGCUGGUGACAGCAGGGCAUCAUUUAUAGGUAAGGCUAUCCUGCCUUGAGGAGAGCUGUCUAGGGUAUCUACCAGGCCAUGCUUGGUUCCUGCACCAAGCAUGUAAAAUUGUAAAAUUGGCUCUAUUAAAGCAUCAAGUAUAUAUAUAUUACUGGUCAGGACUUUAUUCUGCUUGCACUUUAUAAAUGUGAUCAAGUCAUGAUAAGAAGUUAUUCACAUUGUGCAGUAAUGAUGGUUCUUCGAGAUGUGUGCCUCUGUGGGUGUUCCACUGUAGGUGUGUCUGAAUCUCUGCACUGCUGAUUGGAGAACUUCGGUAGCAGUGUUCAUUGGGCCCAUGCUUGGGCUCUCUCCUCAUGCUGCACUAUGAGGCUGGCCAGCGCUAGCAAGCUAACUGUCCUCAGUUCCUUCUCUAUUGCAGUCAUAAAAGGAGAACUCCAAAGUACAGGGGAGGAGGGUGGGUUGUGGAACAUUCAUAGGGACACAUCUCAAAGAACCAUCGUUACUGCACAAGGUAACUUCUUUGAGUAGUGUCCCUACGGGUGCUCCACUGUAGGUGACUCCUGAGCAGUACUCCUUUUGAAGAAACUUUGGAGUUGGGUCAGGUACUGUAGAGCCAAAGAUGGCAUCGGACGCAGAGAGCCCAGCAAUCACAUAAUGUUCUGCAAAAGUAUGGACUGACGCCCUGUCACCGCUCUGCAGAUCUCUGAGAUAGGAACAUCCUUGAAAAAAAGCAAUGGCUGAGGAGACUGAGCUUGUGGAAUGUGUACAGAUUGAGUAUGGGGUGGGAUGGGAGGUGUCACAUUAUGAAUUAGAUAGCUGAUAUUGCUGAGCCCUUGGAUCUUUCCACCACAGAAAGGAAAAGUCUCAGAGACGUCCUGAAGACUUCUAUCUAUCCAGGUAGAAGGCCAAGCCUCUCCUAACAUCUAGGAUAUGUAGUAUAGCUUCCUUGAUGUCUUGGUGAGGCUUGGGGGUAGAAGAUUGGAAGGUGAGUCGACUGAUUCAUGUGAAACAGGGAGGUUACCUUAGGGAUGAAUUUUGGAUGCAGUCUGAAUGUAACCUUGUCUACAAAGAAUACCGAGGGGAGGCGGCGGCAGGUGGGCAGUGCCAUCAGAGCUGCUCUCUCUCUCCUAUCUUCUGGCUAACGUAAUAGCUAUCAAGAAUGCCAUUUUCAUUGAUAAGUACGUUAGUGAACAGGUGGCCAUGGGUUCAAAGAGGGGCCUAGUCAGUCCUUUCAGUAUCAGGUUUAAGUCCCACAUGGGGUACAGUGUCAAGGUUGAGGGAAGAGGUUUAUUAUACCCUUAAGGAACCUUUUAGUGGUUGGGUGCGACAGCAUCGAGUAUCCCAGCUGUAAUAGCUACUAGACAGACCCUAAGAGAUUUUAGGGAUAAUCCUGAUUUUAAGGGUCAGAGCAUAUUCUAGAUUAUGUGAAAGAGUUGCUGAUAUUGGAGAGAUUUGUUGGGACAUGCAUCAAAUCUGAGACCUGGACCAUUUCUGCAGGUAAGUAUGUAGUGUUGAGGACUUUCUACUGGGUAAUAUAACCUCUUGUAUUUCCCUUUGAGCGUGAACUUUCUAGAUGCUGGAACUAAGCAGGAGCCAUGCUGUUAGGUGGAGAAUCCCCAAGUUGGGAUGUAGGGUACACCCUCGGGCCUGUGAGAGGAGGUGCAGAAAGUUGGGGAGAGAGAUCGUUGGCACAUUGCAAACUGUGUCAGGUAAGGAUACCAGGUCUGUCUCAGCCAAGUAGGAGCAAUCAGGAUGACAGGAGCUCUGUCCCUUUCUAUUUUUAACAGAACCCUCAGCAGAAGAGGAAAACAGAAAAAAGGCAUAAAGGUCCCUGCCCCAAGCAAGAAGAGGAGCAUUGUCCAGAGAGUGCUGUCCCAUCCCCACCCUGGAGCAGUAGCGUGAACACUUCUUGUUCUGAACGCCAGCACGCUGCGGACAUCUAGUGUGUGAAAGGACCCCUCCCUGUUGUUGGCAUGUGGCUUGGGAAAGAAUACAGGACUCGACAACAGGGGGAUCGGGGGGAAGGCAUACAGGAGCGGGACUCCCCAUUUGAUGAGGAAGGCAUCUCGGUGUGAGUUGUGUCCCAGUCCCACUCGGGAGCAGUGUUGUGCGCAUUUGGCAUUAUGGGUUGUGGCGAAAAGGUCUUUGAGGGGAAUCCCCAUUGUCUGAAAAUAGUUUGCAGAAUUUGUGGGUCUAGUUCCUCACUCGUGCAUCCAUGAGAAGUUCCUGCUGAGGUCGUCUGCUGUGGCAUUCUGUUUUCCAGGUAGGUAGGAUGCCGUGGUAUGUAUAUGUUGUUGAAGAUGCACCAUUGCCAGAGGUGGACUGCUUCUGUGCAGCGCAGGUAAGACUGGGCCCCUCCUUGGCGAUUUAUAUAGAACAUAGUCAGAAAAUUGUCCGCAAGAAUCUGGACAGUUUUCUUGCGGAUCAGGGGAGAAAAUGAUGGCAGGCAUCUAGAACUGCUUGGAGCGCCAACAGAGUUAUGUGGAGAUUUGACUCUUCUAGGGACCAUCGGCCCUGGAUGAUGUUGCCAGCCAAGUGUGCCCCCCAUCCUACCAGAGAGGCAUCAGUGGUGAUAGUGACUGAUGGGGUUUCCCUUUGGAAGGGAAUGCCUGAGCAAACAUUUGUGUUUUGUCCACCACGUGAGUGAGUCUUUCACUGUGAUGGGCACUGUAAGCUGUCUGUCGAUCGAGUGUCUGUGAGGAACGUACAAAGUGCGUAGCCAGGUUUGUAGACAUCUCAUAUGCGGCCUGGCAUGUUUCACGACAAAUGUGGCAGCCGACAUGUGUCCGAGAAGUUGUAGACACGUUCUGGCGAACAUUUGUGAGCUAUGGCUUACUGUUGUGAUUAGUUUUGUUAAGGCAACAAACCGUCGUUGUGGUAGCCAUCCUGAUGUGAUGACAUGAGCUGUGCCCCUAUAAAGUCCAGUUGCUGGGUUGUGGUCCAGUUGUUGGGCUGGAUUUCUGCAGACUGGUUUGUAACCCUAGGUUUGUAAAUAGGGUUAGAGUGGUAUGAGUGGCGUGAACUACCUCAUUGUGUGUCAGUGCUUUUAGCAGACAGUCGUCUAGAUAGGGGAAUAUGGUCACACCCUACUUGCGAAGAUGUGCUGCUGCUGCAACGGCCUGUACUUUGGAAAAAGCCCUUGGAGCAACAGAGAGGCCGAAGGGAAGUACCUUCUAUUUGGAAGUGUAGGUUGCCCAGAGUGAAUCAUAGGAAUCUCCUGUGCGCCAGGUGGAUAGUGAGGUGAAAGUAGGGCAAUGGCUGAGAGCCACUCUCCUUUCUCCAAUGCCGGAAUUGUGGUUGCUAGGGUUACCAUCUUGACGAGCUGUGUUCUCACAAACUUGUUCCAUUUGCGUAAGUCCAGAAUGGGCCUCCAUCCACCUGUUUUCUUCGGAGUGAGAAAGUAAUGUGAGUAGAACCCCCGACCCCUGUGCUGAACUGGUACUGGUUCCACAGCACCUAACUGCAGAAGAUGGUGUAUUUCCUGCUGUAACAGGUACUCGUGAGAUGGGUCCCUGAAGAGGGACGGGGAAGGGGGGUGGAUAGGUGGAAUAGAAAGAAAGGGGAUGGAAUAGUCCUUCUGUAUAAUUUCCAGAACCCACUUGUCUGUGGUGAUGGUUCUCCAGACUGGGUAAAAGGGUGUAAGACAGUCCCCAAAUGGGUAGGAAAUUAGAGGUAACACUGGAAUUGGAGAAUGCGAGCCUCUUGUGUCCUCGACCAACACUUCAUAACGUUUGCCUAGAAAUGGAUGGCUGAGAUGUAGACAACUGCGUCUUGUCUGGCGCUGCUUGCGGCAUUGAUCAUAAUGUCAUUGAGGCUGAGUGUGUAGGGCAGGACAGAAUUGUUGGUUGUAGAAUCUGCCCUGUUUUUUUGUUCACAGGGAUAUAGAUUCCAAGAGUCUUUAGUGUCACAUGAGAGUCCUUCAGGGUAUGUAAGGACACGUCCGUGCUCUCUGCAAAUAAUUUUUGCCUUUCAAAAGGUAAGUCUCUCUACUGUCACCUGAACUUACCUGGGGAAGCCAGAGAGACGGAGCCAAGAAGCCCUCCGCAAGACAAUGGACAUGGCAAUGGAGCGGGCCACCGUGUCAGCAGAAUCCAGAGAAGCCUGCAGCGCAGUUCUGGAGAUGAGGAAACCUUCUGCAAUAUCAACUUUAUAUUGUUCUUUUUGUUAGCUAGGCUGUACUUGAUAAAAGAUGACAUCUGAGAAAAAAUGGUGUGUGUUCUUGGCCAGUGAUGCAGAAUAGUCUGCUAUGCGAAACUGGAAAGUCGACGAUGAAUAGGCUUUACUGCCGAAGAGGUCUACGCGUUUCCAAUCUUUAUCAUAGGGGGUGGUUUUGGUUGGAUGUUUUUCCCCCCUUUGAUUAACUGCCUCUACCACCAAUGAGUUUGGAGUAGGGUGCAUAAGCAAAAACUCAGCUCCUUUAGCCGGCACACAGUACUUCUUGUCAGAUUGCUUACAACGCGGUGGGCAAACUUUUUGGCCCAAGGGCCACAUCUGGGUAUGGUGGGCCAUGAAUGCUCACGUAAUUGGGGUUUGGGUGCAGAAGGGGCUGAGGGCUCU